CCUCGGGUGGCUGCAGUGGGGAAUAUUGGACAAUGGGCGAAAGCCUGAUCCAGCCAUGCCGCGUGUGUGAAGAAGGCCUUCGGGUUGUAAAGCACUUUCAGUGGGGAAGAAAGCCUUGGGGCUAAUACCCUCGAGGAAGGACAUCACCCACAGAAGAAGCACCGGCUAACUCCGUGCCAGCAGCCGCGGUAAUACGGAGGGUGCGAGCGUUAAUCGGAAUUACUGGGCGUAAAGCGCGCGUAGGCGGUCUGAUAAGCCGGUUGUGAAAGCCCCGGGCUCAACCUGGGAACGGCAUCCGGAACUGUCAGGCUAGAGUGCAGGAGAGGAAGGUAGAAUUCCCGGUGUAGCGGUGAAAUGCGUAGAGAUCGGGAGGAAUACCAGUGGCGAAGGCGGCCUUCUGGACUGACACUGACGCUGAGGUGCGAAAGCGUGGGUAGCAAACAGGAUUAGAUACCCUUGUAGUC
rnacentral:rRNA from 1 species